rnacentral:rRNA from 1 species
GAUCAUGGCUCAGGAUGAACGCUGGCGGCGUGCUUAACACAUGCAGGUCGAACGAAGCACUUUAUUUGAUUUCCUUCGGGACUGAUUAUUUUGUGACUGAGUGGCGGACGGGUGAGUAACGCGUGGGUAACCUGCCUUGUACAGGGGGAUAACAGUUGGAAACGGCUGCUAAUACCGCAUAAGCGCACGGCAUCGCAUGAUGCAGUGUGAAAAACUCCGGUGGUAUAAGAUGGACCCGCGG